UUUCCCAAGAGAUCCCAUGAAACUCAUCGGCAAAACUUUUGAUAAUGUACUUCUUUGAAGAGACUCAAAGCCAUCCAUCAUGACUAGUGAGAUCACUUGUUAGGUAAAGAAGCUUGCUGUCAACCCUAAAAACCUGAGUUUGAUUCCCCACGCCCACACACUGGAGAGAGAGAACAAACUCCUGCCAAGCUGGACUCUGAUCUUCACAUGUAUGUCUUGGCAUGUGUCCAAACACAGGAAUGGAUAGCAUCUCUAAGAGUUAUAUGCAUGGAAUGGGGAGCAGAUCCAGAUGUAGAACUCUCAGUUGUUUUUCCAGCACCAAAUCUGCCUGUGUUCCACAACGUUUCUUAUCAUGGCCUUAAUGAUAAUGGACUAAACCUCUGAAACUGGAUCCCCAGAACCAGCUGACGUUGGUACUAAAAGACAGCUGUGUUGGAACCAUUGGCCGAGAACUGGAGUCCUUCCUUCCGGAGAAGACAUAAGCACCAAGUACACAAGCGUUCUGGGGGAAGUAUGUACAGAGACCUGGAAAGUGGAGACCCAAGGGAUGUUUGGCUAAGCCAGGGGAACUACGCUGUGACUCAAGUUGGCCUAAGACAGUGAAGGACCAAGGGAUCCAGGAAUUCUCCAGAGAAAACAAGUGGAUUUGUGGAAGUAGAUUAUAGACAAUGAGCUGGAGUGAGGUCAGCCAUCAGAAAACUGCUGGGGGAAGGGGAAUGGAGUUCACAGCGUUUACAAGAAGGGACAUGUGGCUCAAAGGUAGGACAACCAGAAAGAUGCUUGGACAGGACUGUAGGACAUUUCUCUACAGAACAGGCUGUGGUUAAAAAAAAAGUAAUGAAUUCUUAUUUUUAACCCUAAUUAUCCAGAAAGCAUGGUUUUGAUGAUUUAGUGUAAAACAAAGGCAUUUUAUGCAAUUGUUUCAUAAAAAUCGAAACUUAGCUUUCCUUUCUGUCCAGGGUAUAUGAACACCUUGAGGGUAUGUAAAAGCUUUCAGAGCAUGUGUAUAAAUGCUGCCCCAAGGUCGAUGAAGCAACAUCUAACUAUCACAGAGGUCUGGUCUGACUCUAAAUCUUUUUUCCUAGGGAAAGAAAAGGCAUGUCGUGAUGUAUAUUUCUGGAGAGGAAGCAUUCCCAGGAAAGCCUAUAUUAUUGUAAAUGCCAAGCAAUCCCAGUUCAGUGUAUUCUCCUUACGAUUUAUUUGCCUCAAGUUGAUAAUAAUAAUAAUGUUCUUACUUUCACAGUGUCUCAAAUCCAAGUGUGUCUGAGUAGUUUGUAAAUAUAAAUCAAUUCUUAAGACACUCUGGUGAGACAGGUAAAAACCGUUACUAAUAUUUUAUGAAGAAAGUAGUAGACAAGAGAUUCACCAACUUCACAGUUUCUCAU